AUGCACUGUUCGUAACCGGUUAACCUGGCUGUGGUUAAGGGGUUCCAUUCCAGUGCUACAGCAUUUCCAAUGGCACAUGACUGACUGACCAACUAGUGGCUUUCAGUUUCAGUUCUUGGAAACAAAU